rfam:Hordeum vulgare subsp. vulgare, WGS project CAJW01000000 data, contig: morex_contig_55940
GUUGUACUCCCUUCGUCCGAAAAUACUUGUCACAAGAAUGGAUGUAUUUAGAUGUAUUUUAGUUCUACGUACAUUCUUUUUUAUUCAUUUGUGGACAAGUAAUUUCAAACGAAGGGAGUAUAUU